GUCGUCGCUAUGACAAUUCUGCUGAGAACGAGAGGAACCGCAGAUUAGGACACUUGGUUCACGUGCUUGGUCGAGAGUACAGUGGUACGAAGUUACCGUACAUGGGAUUACGGCUGGACGCCUCAAAGUCAGAAUCCUGCCUAAGCACCACAACGAU
rnacentral:rRNA from 1 species